rnacentral:ncRNA from 1 species
ACAGGACAAACUGAACAGGCGAUGAACCAUAAUGGUCAUGGGGCCGGGCUGCUGAAGCGGCAGCAGAUGUAGAGUUGACAUCUGCGGGACAGUU